rnacentral:rRNA from 1 species
UACAGAGGUGGCAAGCGUUGUUCGGAAUUACUGGGCGUAAAGCGUGCGCAGGCGGUCUGCUAAGAGAGAUGUGAAAUCCCCGGGCUUAACCUGGGAACUGCGUUUCUAACUGGCAGGCUUGAGUGUGGCAGAGGGGGGUGGAAUUCCACGUGUAGCAGUGAAAUGCGUAGAGAUGUGGAGGAACACCGAUGGCGAAGGCAGCCCCUGGGCUAACACUGACGCCUCAUGCACGAAAGCGUGGGGAGCAAACAGG